GGAUCCCAGGGCACCCUCCCACCCCCGGCAGCAUACACAAGACUUCUCCUGCACUUCUAGCGGGUACAACUAGAGUACGGCGGAGGGGUGGGGAGUGGCGGUAUGUGGGUAUCCCAUACCGGCCAUUCACAGCCAGAGCAGAGCUGGAGCUCUGGUCCUCCAAGGAGAAUCCAGGGCAGCAGAAGCCUCACAUCCAUCCCCCAACCCCGCCCCCGCUUUGCAGACUGCAGAUGAGUGGAGUAACUUACCGAAGGUGACACCGCUAGAACACAGCAUAGCUCAAACUCCAAGCCAGCCUCUCUCUGCUCAACUGAAGAAUGAAACCAGCAGCCAUUUCAUGCAGCUGUGAGGGCCUGAGAAGGCACAGAGCCACUGCCUGACACAAGCCCCCAACACUGAAAGCACCAGGAACUGACGAGAGGGAAACCUGUAACCUCCUUGCCUCUCCAUCAUACAAAGGAUCCUGCCAAAAAUCCUGAACACCCCUUCUACCUUUAGAGCCUGUGCUUCCUGGUGGCCACACAUCCAUUUCCACCCGAGUAAUUGCAGCCCAUCACACAUACAUCAUACCCUAUAUUUGAAACUCUUUGAGGUUGUCAUGGGAACUGCCUUCGCCUUCAUUCACUGAUCAGACCUCACAAUUAGCUUUGGCAGCGGAAGGCUUUGUCAAUGGCAAUCACCAGGAGGAAGCAGAGAAGGAACAACAACAGAAGAGAGAGAUGGUUUUUCCUUGGAGGUCCAGCAGAACCAGACGGCAGUGAUGGUGACCCUCUCGCUUCCCUGUGACAAGUCAGGUCACACACCUGAGUCCCUGACAGGUAGUGAUGCUCUUCCUGUGCUCCGUGCAUCCUCCUGUCAGUGGCUCCCAACUGUCCUAAUGCUGCAACCUUUUAGUAUAGGGUCACAUGGUGCUGGCCCCC
ensembl:processed_transcript B230319C09Rik uncharacterized LOC110316502